AGAACGAACGCUGGCGGCAUGCCUAAUACAUGCAAGUCGAGCGAAGGCUUCGGCCUUAGUGGCGCACGGGUGCGUAACGCGUGGGAAUCUGCCUCUUGGUUCGGAAUAACAGUUGGAAACGACUGCUAAUACCGGAUGAUGACGAAAGUCCAAAGAUUUAUCGCCAAGGGAUGAGCCCGCGUAGGAUUAGCUAGUUGGUGAGGUAAAGGCUCACCAAGGCGACGAUCCUUAGCUGGUCUGAGAGGAUGAUCAGCCACACUGGGACUGAGACACGGCCCAGACUCCUACGGGAGGCAGCAGUAGGGAAUAUGGACAAUGGGACGAAAGCCUAGAUCCAGCAAUGCCGCGUGAGUGAUGAAGGUCCGUUAGGGUUGUAAGCUCUUUACCGAGUAUGAUAAU
rnacentral:rRNA from 1 species